AGGGAAUCUUCCACAAUGGACGGAAGUCUGAUGGAGCAACGCCGCGUGAGUGAUGAAGGUUUUCGGAUCGUAAAACUCUGUUGUAAGGGAAGAACAAGUACAGUAGUAACUGGCUGUACCUUGACGGUACCUUAUUAGAAAGCCACGGCUAACUACGUGCCAGCAGCCGCGGUGAAUACGUAGGUGGCAAGCGUUGUCCGGAAUUAUUGGGCGUAAAGCGCGCGCAGGUGGUUUCUUAAGUCUGAUGUGAAAGCCCACGGCUCAACCGUGGAGGGUCAUUGGAAACUGGGAGACUUGAGUGCAGAAGAGGAUAGUGGAAUUCCAAGUGUAGCGGUGAAAUGCGUAGAGAUUUGGAGGAACACCAGUGGCGAAGGCGACCACCUGGACUGAUACUGACACUGAGGUGCGAAAGCGUGGGGAGCAAACA
rnacentral:rRNA from 1 species